AGAAUCAACGCUGGCGGCGUGUCUAACACAUGCAAGUCGCACGAGAAAGGGGAGCAAUCCCUGAGUACAGUGGCGCACGGGUGAGUAACACGUGAAUCAUCUACCUCCGAGUGGGGAAUAACUGAGAGAAAUCUUAGCUAAUACCGCAUAAUACCCACGGGUCAAAGCAGUAAUGCGCUUGGAGAGGAGUUCGCGGCAGAUUAGUUAGUUGGCGGGGUAAUGGCCCACCAAGACGAUGAUCUGUAUCC
rnacentral:rRNA from 1 species